UUUACACCUCUUUGUGAAAAGGAUUUAAAAGAUAUUGGCACCUAUCCGCAAAUUUUAGCAAAUUAAUUAGAAUUAGGAGAUGGAGAGCAGGAUAAAGGGAGAGCAGGAUAAAGGGGCAAAAGCAAAAAAACAUAAACAAAAUGCUGCAAGAAGCAAAUUAAUUAGAAUUAGGAGAUGGAGAGCAGGAUAAAGGGGCAAAAGCAAAAAAACAUAAACAAAAUGCUGCAAGAAAGAAGCAUACAGAUUCUCAUAGUUACAGUCAGCUGUACCGUUGAAGAUGCUGGACUGAAGGCUAAAGUUUGAAGACAUAUAGUUUAAACGGAAGGAAGAUAUUUUACAAGACAAUAGCAAGAUUUCUCCAAAGUGUUUUAUAAAAGACACGAUAAGCCAGGGGCAAUCCAACACAUUGACGGAGAACAGGAACUAAGUAUUCCAGUAUUACAAUGCGGCAUGAAAAGCUACCUAUUGUAUGAACGUACUGCAACUUCAGCUAUUCAGGAUUUAACUGGAGAGAGGUCACAUAAAAGAAUAGAUCAGAGAGACUCCCAUUUGUCUAGCAAUCAAAGCAUAGGUAGGGACAGAACUGUCUUAUAGUUCACAAUUAUUUCGAUUUGCAUCAUAUCAACAAGAACAUCUUCUUCGGCUAAACAGAUUCCACAUAACCACUACAGUCGACACAGCCUGAUUCCUGCUAGAUUAAAACAACAAAAAUUAGGGUUUUCAAGCUCUUGAGGAUACUUACAGGCCACGUGUUUAGAAUAAAGGCCACAUGCUACCAUUUCACUGACGAUCACCAUUAAUAAAUCAACUUCAAGGAUUUAACAAUAUGUCAAAUUUUGUUGUACAGGAAAGUUUGGCCAUCUUUUAAAUUACUUUUACAGUGUAAAGGUUCUUUUAUUGUGGGAAAACUUCUAGUAUGACAGACUUCAAAGAUUGCUUAUCCCCCCAGGCCCCCUUCUAACCAGUGUCUACAAAAUCUCAAACAAAAUCUUCAGAAUUUUCAUCAUCUGAGUCAUGUAACUCAACAAGGAGAUUCAAUUUGUGGUAUAAGGAGUAAUGAUUUCCUUACCGUGAAGUUCAUUUCUUGAUAAUGGUCAGCUAAGGCACACCCCUCUCCUAACUUGUCAAACUUGAAUGUGGUACUAUUUAGUAUACGAGUACCUUUUUUGAAAAAAGAGGAGGAUAGCUGUCCUAAACUUUCUACCAAGAUAACAUUUGGUGUUAAUCUGCAACUUAUCUUCUUACUUCUACACAGUCCCUCUUGUCUUUAUUAAGCAGAUAAUGACAUUCAUGGAUAGCACUAGGUUCUAGGUACCACUGCUUCACUCAAGGUAUCCAACUCUAUAACCUGUCUUUGUCAUGCCAUCUGUUCAGUAUCUGGAGAUCAGUCUCUAAUCCUUCUUUGCAAUUGCAGAAGGAAAAAAUAGAAGUCAGACGCUAUGCUUCAUGUCUUCAAGAUGCUGCAAAGGAAUAAAAAUUCCCAUUAAAAAAUAGUUCGUUCUUCACAUAUCAGUAUUACAGGAAUUAUGCAGUUCAGGCACAUAGGAAAACGAAAUGUGAUGAGAAGUGAAACAGGAGAAACAUUGGGCCUUCCUGUGUUCAGAAAUCACACACCCUGAGAUACUGAUACUACUGUGAAACUGAAGCAGUGUAGAUUAGUCUACCUUUCAGGGGAUUUUCAUGUGACAGAGAGCCAUAUCAGUUCAGGUGCAGCAAGGAACUUUGGAUAUGGUAUUGGAAGGUAAUUUCUCGUAAGAUUGACCACAGAAGCAGAACUUGACUCCUUUUAUUAAUAAGACUGCAUAGGUCAACAUAAUUUAGGACAUAAUUAAGCAUUCUGCUGAGGGGUUAAUACUGCCAUCAUGACAUAUUGCACUCAUGCUCAUAGCACACACUUCCUACAGUACACAAAAUCCAAGAACAGAAGAUCUCAUCUAGAGUUGUGUUAUAAUCUCCAACUGGGGCACGUCUAAUUUCUUACUUGUACAAGAAAAACAAAUGUUGCCCAUAUGUCAUGAACCUAAUUAGUGUGACAAAAGGGAUUAAAAAAUAGUUAUCCAUUCAUAUUAUCAUGAACUUUUUAAAAACAAGUCAAAUAUGGAUAAGAACCAUAUUAUCCACUUAGAAAAUGAAUAACCAAUGGAUAACUAAUGAGUUUAACUUUUACAUUUGUAAAGAUUCAAAUUGAGGGUUCCUCAAGUUUGGGAGACUAGGAAUUCUCCCAAAAAUGAUCAUAUUCAAGAAGCCAUGGAUAAUAUAGAUAUCCACAUUAUCCACCGAUUAACUCAUUUUCUAUCCGUAUUAAAUAUGAGUUAGGUCAGGUAAUUUAUCCAUUUUUGCAUUCCCGUUUUCGACCUGCCCAUAUCCUAUCCGACCCGCCCGUUUGCCACCCCUAAACCUAAGCAAUACAUAUUAUGCAAAGACAUGAACAUAAGAACCAAGGAUAUGGCUAUAACAUUGAAGAACUAUAACCAGAUAAACCGUCCGCCUACAAACCAAUUUUCAUCACAUGCCAUACUAUCACUCUACAAAAAUGAAGCAAACUGAAAAUGACCAACAACUAAAGAGCCUAAAUAAUAAUCUGACGGAUAUCCUUCCUCCCCAACAUGAAUCUAAACGACACUAACUUAUGUAUUAUUCUUAACAAAAGCCACUAAUAGUUGCCUAAAUGUCAUGAAACCUCAAAUAGAAGCCUCAGCUACCAUAGAGAGGGACAAUGGUAUCCAUGGUUCAGUUUUGCCACCGCAAAGAGACCCAAUAUCUCUGUUCAAUCCCACUCUAGAUGAUUUCUUCCAUAUGCAGAUAAGCUCUUCACUUAUCUCACACACACACACACAUAUAUAUAUAUACCUUUUGCUUACCUUUUGUCAAAAGUGCUAAUGCUAAACUUCACGUUAUCAAGCAUUGCCAACUAUUAUAACAUGGGUGGGAUGAGAUGUAGCCUCUCUCCACAUAAUCCCACCUUCAACAUAUAGGAGCGGUCGUCUACCAUUAGCUUCCUUGCAUGUAAAAUAUCUCUUUCUGGUAUAAAAUUAAGCAUGUAAAUUCUACUUAGAUAUUGGUGCAACCUAGGGAGAACCACACCCCAAAAGCUAGCUAUUGAGGGGGGAGAGCCCAAGGCUAUAUAAAUCCCACAUCAGCACUUGUAGUACCGAUGUGAGACUCAAGUCUCAUUCCUUGCAAUAGACCACAAAUAUCAACAAAUAAAAAUGUAGCUGGAAAAAUAAAAUAACAAGUCUUCUUCUUCUUAGAUAUGCAUAGACGAAGAGUGAUUACCAUUACUUUAUGCUGGUCUAGGUCGGACUCAACAUAACCAAUAAAAACCGUCAAUAACAUUAGGCAUCAAAUCUUUUCUUCUUCUUUCACAUAUUUCACUUUGAUAGUAAAAGGUACAACAGAAGAUGGUAAAUGAAGGAACAAACUCUUCCUAUGAACUAAAAACUGUAUACAAAGAGGGGAAAAUCAGUCUCUUGUGCACCUAUUAGAUGGUGGAGUCCUAUUUCAUCUAUUCAGUAGGAUUAUCUCUCAGUCAAUUAAGCUAGAUCCAGUUGUAAAAAUCCCACAUAAGGUGCAAAGCAUAGAAGGAAGUUACAAACAAAUUAUAGCACAAUUAGGACCGAGGUUUGAAUAACAUAUGAUAGUAUAGCAUAGAGUAACUAUGCAGCUACUGUAAUUACUCAUUUACCAAACAGAAGGUUGAAUUCGCAUCCUCCAUGAUGUACCACACACCAGAGUUUAUGGCCAGCAACUUCAAGGCUACCAAAACAACUAUAACUUAUAUUUCUAUGGCUGAUGGCAUAUUGUGGAGCAAAAUUUUUGAAGGUAGAAAGCAACAAAGAUUAAAGAGAUGCCUUGUGGCUAUCUCUUUUACUUUAAAACUUUGAAUCCCCUUUGAAAUGUCAUCCAAACCCAUUGGUUUGAAGAAUUCAUCACAAGUUUGUAGGAGUAAUAUGCCACAAAAUAUCAAGAGGAGCUGUUAAUUAACAUCACUUAAGCCACUCUACAGUAUAUCCAUAUCAAGGCAUUGUAUUGAUCAGGGCAACCAGUCAAUAGUAGGGUCCAUGCUAAAUUCGUAUGAGAUGCAUCAAAUUGUUAGUGCUAUACAAAAGAAGUCAUGUAGCUAAAUCUACAAUAUGUCUUCCACAAAAAUGACAAAAAUUGAAUUCAACCUGGCUUGGUUGCAUGGUCAACACCUUUGAUGUGUCCUAGUCAUGUUAAGACUCAAAUCCUCUUCUAUUCCUACAUGUCGACCUUUGUACCAAAAGUAGAAAUCUCAUCCCCCCCCCCCCCCCUUUCCCGACCUAAUUGAAAACAACAAUGAAAUUUUAUGGUAACACCCAUUUUCAUCAAGGUGAGGAGAUACAGAAGAAAACGGUCAAAGAGUCAUUCUAGAAAGCAGAUGAUUCACAGACACAACAACAAUGUUCUCUUUGUCAGUGUAUUUUUGAAUCUCUAAUGUUUGAGACUUGAAUCCCCUUCAAUUCCCAAAUGUCGAACUUUGCACCUAAACCAAAUAACUUCUAAAAUCCUAAUUUGAACUAGCGCAAAAAUUGACAGCAUGCCUACGAAGUCUUUUUUAAGAUAUAAUUGUCUCUAAGCCAAAGUAGAUCAAUAAGGUUUCAUAUGCUACGUCCUCUAAUCACAUUUGAUGUCCAGAUUCUUCUAUUGAAAAAAUUUACCUCGUAAAAAAAAUUAACUACAAGAAGUGUCUCCGCAUUUAACACUAAUUCAAGUUCUUCCUUUUCCCUUUUCAUCUUAUAAAAGUGAAGUGACAUUCAUAAGGAGUACCAAACACAUCAUUUCCAACAACUACAAAGGCAUAGUAGGAUUGAAAAGGAAACAACAAACAAUGUACUAAGACUGACUCAAGCAGGGUAUACAAGGAUUCUUAACCAAAUCUCCAAUCCUUGGGAUAACACAAAGGAAAUGAUAUUUUUAUUUAUGUUAGCUAGUGAAAUAGAGGGGAGAGAAACCAUAAGCUAGUGUAUUUCAUUUUUCCUUCUUUUUUCGUCAUUGACAGGAUGCAACCUCAAGAAAGUAACCCUAGCUCAUUUUGUUUUUCCCCUAAUUUAAAAGGGCUCAUAAAUUAAAGAUACACAAUCUUGAGGGUAUACAUGGAUCUAAUUCUUGGACUGCAAGGAAGGAACGUCUAUACAUUAAUCUAAAUAGAACCUAGCAUGCAGCAACAUCCAUUAAUUUCUCCUAUGAUAAUCCAAAAUGCGGAGCAGAGUGUUGACCGGUCAAGAACUCACACGUUCAGAAGAUGCAAGUAGCGAAAAUGAAGAUGCUUGGAAGGAUGUGUGAGCAUAUAAGGAGAGAUAAGAUUAGGAAAGAAGAUAUACGGAGCAAGGUGAGAGUGGCCCUCACGGUGGACAAGAUGCGGGAAGCGAGAUUGAGAUGGUUCGGGCAUGUGAAAAGCACGAGCACAGAUACCCUAAUGAGGAGGUGCGAAAGGUUGGCAGUGAUAGGUCUUAAGAGAGGUAGAGGUAGACCGAUGAAAAACUGGGGAGAGAUGAUUAGACAGGACAUGACACAUCUUCAGCCCACCGAAGACAUAACCCUAGAUAAGAGAGCUUGGAGGCCGAGGAUUAGAGUAGAAGAUUAGUAGGUAGUCAAGCGAUUUCUCUCUUUUUUACGGGAGAGCAGUGGUUCUAGUUUAGAGCACCCUCUUCUCUUUAUCAGUAUUAUUAUUAUUAUCCUAGUAUUAUUAUCUUAUUCUUCAAUUUUAUACAACUGUUUUUUUUUACUUUGAUUAACUUUCCUAUUUUGCUGGCAAUACUUUUCUUUUCUUCAGUAUUUUUAUCAUAGCUUUUUUACUUUUGUAUUUUUCAAACCUGUUUUGAAAAUUCUUUUCUUGAGCCAAGGGUGUAUCGAAAGUAACCUAUAUACCUCACACAAGGUAGGGGUAAGGUCUUCGUACACCCUAUACUCUCCAAACCCCACACGUGAGAUCACACUGUUCAUGUUGUUCUUGUUCUUGAUAAUCCAAAAUGUAAGAAAUAUGUUUUCUUCUUAGCAGUUUUGGCAAAGAGAAGCAGCAAUGCUGAGGCAACAACUUCAAAACUUGCAAGAGAAUCAUCGGUAAACUUUCUUGUUCUUUAUCACAUAUAUUUCUUCUUUCUGCUAAUAACUUAGAAUAAAAAUAAGAAUGUUUUUGCGUGUUAAGCAAUUCAGGUAUUUUCUUAAAUUGAGUUCAUGUUAGUCCAAUGCAGCUUUUGAGAUGUUUAAGCAAAAUUAUAUCAGGAGAAAGUACCCAGUAAUUUUCAUUGAGUUCCGUACCAUAGGAGUCAAAUUGUUUCACAAGUGGAAAUUUUUGUUCUUAGAAUUGUUUUAUUAUUUAGGUGCUUAAAUCUACUUUGUCUGCUAUUUAAGUUAUACAAGGAGCUUAUAUAGUGACUGAGCUACAACGGAAGAGUAGAGAGACACGAGUAAUGUGCAAAGUGGUCUGUAAAAGACAAAUGACUUCUGGACUUCGUUACAGAGAAGAAGGGAUGGGAGAGAUGAUAACAAUGAUCCACUUUCUGAUACCCAUUAUCAAGUUCUCAGUCUAGUAAAUGGAAUCCCAAAGGUUUCUUUGGAAGCUCAAGAGGUCUAUGACAAAGUGAUCACCUUACCAACAACAACAACAACAACAAAAAACCCAGUUUGAUCCCAUAAUUGGGGUUUGGGGAGGGUAGUGUGUACACAGACCUUACCCCUAUCUCAUAGAGAUAGAGAGACUGUUUUCGAUAGACCCUCGGCUCAAGAAACAAUGAAAAUAAAGCACCAAGUAGCAAAGAAUGUUAGCACCAGUGAUCACCUUACCAAAGUAGUCAAAAGCAAAAAGUGCUAAAGCUCGUUGGGCUUUAAGAUUAAAGUGCAAUCCAAGUAUGGGCUUUAACGAAAAAAAAGAGCUAAUGAAAAAAAUGUAAAGCAGUGUAACUACAAAAAAAAGUUCUUUGGACAAAAGAAUGGAAUUAGGCUAUAUAUAUGAAGUAAAAGUCAUGUAAAGUAAGUUCAGAAACAAUUUUAAACUUCUUAUUUAGAUGAAAAACAUAGUUUAUAUUUUUAAUGGCUAGUUUUCUUAUAUUUAACUUCUAAUUUCAUUUUUCCAUUUUUUUGACAACCGUGGUGUCCGGGCCAGCUUGCGCGCACCUCGACUAAUUCCACGGAAUACCUAUCACCUCCCACCGGCAACAGAUAUCAGGUAACUCUGUCCACCAAGGUUAGAACAGAUGAGAAGAAAUCACUUAGUGUUUUGUCUCUGUUGGAGAUUGAACCUGAGACCUCAUAGUGCUUAAAUCACUUCAUUGACCACUAGGUCACACCCUUAGGUGCAACUUCUAAUUUCUUAGUGCUAAUCACUAAAAGUUCAGUCAUAUGGCUUUUUUAACAAUUAAUAUAUCAUUUUGUCAACUCUAUUUAUUGUCUAGUGCUAUGCUCUUAAAGACUGAGCUCAUAGGUGAAGAAGAACAUAUUAUAGCACCUUAGCACCUACACUAAAGUGCCAACCAUGGGAGGUGACUCCCACAACUUGGUUUCACUGAGCUUCAAGACUUAAGUGUGCCUUAAGCGAGACUUUAACAACCCUACACCUGACAUUGUUCUUACUGAUCAUUGAAAUAUUCAACAAGAAGAUGGAGAGUAAGGACAAGGGGUUAUUUAUGGGGCUUCACAGUUUGUAGGGUAGGAAAGAUAGUUUACAGGUGUAUUAUCUACUAUAUCUUACUAUAUGCAGAUGAUAUGUUUGUGUUAUUACCGAGGCAAAUCCACUCUACUGUUGUGGUCUCAGGGAACUCUAAGAUUGAUGAAGUGAAGAGCAUUAAAUAGCUGGUGGACAUCCAUAGUUGCAGUAUGGGUCCCAUCAUAAGAUGACUUACCAAUACUACCGCUGGGUGCGACUUUCAAGGAUUGCCAAAGAAAAAAACUGAUGGCCGAGAGAGUCAAAAAGAGACUAACAGGCUGUUAGAAGAAAUACUUCUUGAAAAUGUGAGAUAGAGACAGCGAUCAAGAGAAAUUUGCUUAAUCUGCCAACUUACUAUGUAUCCAUAUUGUUUAUACCAGUACGAUUUACAAAGAUUGUGCAAUAUGAAAGACAAAGUUGAGAACCAAAAAGAAACUAAAAGGACGGUAGAAGUAAUACUUAAAAGGGAGAGAGACAUUGAUCAAAGAGUAAUUUUUCGUAUCUGUCAACUUACUAUGUACCAGGAAUCAUGGCAAAAGAUUGAAAAGUGUGAACGAAUCUUUUAUGGGACACGAUAGGGAGGUGGAAUGUUCAUAGAACUCAACUAGGGAAGUUGAUUAAGGGGUUUCGCAUGGAAAUCAACCAUUGUGGAGAGCGAUCAUAGUUAAAAAGUAUGUAGAUCAAGUGGGAUAGUUAGGACCAAUCAGAUUAUCCAUGCUAUAUGGAGCAACUCUAUGGAGGAUAUAGUGAAAAUGUGGACAGAUUCUAUGAAAGUGUCAAAUUUAGGACGGAGGUACUGAAACCCGAAUCAAUUUCUGGAAAUAGAGACGAUGUAGUCAUAUUCUUUUGUAUUAAGUUUUCUGAUAAUAUUCAAUACUUUCAGCUAGCAGACACUAACACUCGUCCCAAUUAUAAAGAACGAGGAGAAUCCUAUAGAAACUACAUUUGAGUGAAGGAUUGGGAGAUGAAGCAGCUUAAUAGUUUGCUUACAUUACCGCACAAGCAAAAAUAUCAUUUAUGGACAAAGGCAGCUGGAAACGGGAAAGGCCAGAAAGAUGUUGUACUCAUAGUGAAAUCAUUUUAUAAUGGACUGCUAAAGACAAGGUAACUUCCCUCACUAAUAUGGUGCUUUUUACACCGAUAGUAACACAAGAAGCUAUCCUAACAACAAAGAAUUUGAGAGGAAAAUGGACAAUCCCUGUCACUUCGGUAUUUACACAAGGGAUGUACUGUUUUUAGAGAAUGUAUGGUAUCUCAAUCAGUAUUGAUGACCGAAUGCUCUUUGUAGGGAUUUGGAUACAUAUGGGAAUCAGCCCAUAAUAUCAGUAUAUUAUUGAAUUCAUCAACAAAGUAACUAGGCUAAAUGAAUUAUUUCCUCCAUUACUCUACUUAAAAUAUUAAACACUGAUCUUUUGGAUUGAGAAAAGGGAAAGGAGAAGAAUGGAGAUGAUGUAGAGAAAAGGAAAGAAAAGGAAAGCAGAGUGUUACUUUUCUGUCUUCAAAUUGAUGGAGUAAGGAAAUAUAAAAGAAUGUGUAUUAAUUGACACUAAUUCCCUUAAGAGUUAUUUUGUUCAUAAUCCUGAGCUUUCUUUUAAUGCUACAAAAGUUUCACUACAGCAUGUCCUGUUUUUCUUCGUUUCACCCAUUUUUGGACAGAACAUUGUGUUAACGAACUUAACUCCCCUUUCCCUCCCUUUCUAUUCCUAAAAACCAAUUCCGAGCAAAAAUAAAUAAAUCACCUACUCUUCUUUCCUCUGACUUAGAGAAGGCUUAGGAUAAAGUACUGAGGGAGGUAUGUGAAGAUGUUUGAAGACUAGAGGUGUUCCUGUUGCAUACAUUAGGGCUAUUAAGGAUAUGUAUGAUAGAGCUAAGACUCGUGUGAGGACACUAGGAGGGGACUCGGAACACUUCCCGGUUGUGAUGGGGUUGCACCAGGGGGUUAGCCCUCAGCCCAUUUCUGUUCAAAGGGAGGUACCGUGAUGCAUGUUAUUUGCAGAUGACAUUGUACUGAUUGACGAGAGGCGAGGUGGUGUAAACGUAAGGUUAGACGUUUGAAGGCAGACCCUGGAGUCUAAAGGUUUCAAGUUGAGUAGGACCAAAACAGAAGACAUAGAGUGCAAGUUCAGUGGUGCGACUCAGGUAGUGGAUGAAGACGUGAAGUUUAAUUCACAAGUCUCUAGGAGAGAGUUUCAAGUACCUUGGGUCAGCUAAUACAAGGGAAUGGAGAGAUCAACAAGGAUGUCACACAUCGUAUUGUGGCUGGAUGGAUGAAAUGGAAGCUCGUUUCCGGUGUUUAGUGUGAUAAGAAUGUGCCGCCAAGACUUAAAGGUAAGUUCUAUAGUGCAGUGGUCAGACCGAUUAUGUUAUAUGAGGCGGAGUGUUGGCCAGUCAAGAACUCUCAUGUCCAGAAGAUGAAGAUGACUGAAAUAAGGAUGUUGAGAUGGAUGUGUGAGCAUACUAGGUUAGAUAUAAUUAGAAAUGAAGUUAUCCGGGAUAAGAUGGGCCGGGACAAGGUGGGUGUGGCCCCUGUAGAGGACAAGAGGUGGGAGACGAUACUUAGAUGGUUCGGGUAUGUGAAGAGGAGAGGCACAGAUGCACCGGUAAGGACGUGUGAGAGGUUGGCCUUGGAGAGCCAACGGAGAAGUAGAGGCAGGCUGAAAAGUAUUGGGAAGAGGUGAUUAGGCAAGAUAUGGCGUUGCUCCAACUUACUGAGGGCAUGUCCAUGGAUAGGAAGGUGUGGAGUUUGAGAAUAAAGGUAAAAGGUUAGGUAGCCGAGCGAUGUCCUUGUUUGUUACAGUAGCUCUAGUACAUCACUUGGUGUCUUUCGUGUAUUUUUGUCUUCCCAGACUUCUGUCAUUACUUGUUACCUUCGCUUGGGUUUUCCGAUUGCAUUACCUUGUGUUAGUUUGUAUUUUCGCUUGGCUUUCCGAUUGGUUUGCUUGUUAUUGUCCCUUCCCUUUUAUCUUUCCUGAGCCAAUGGUCUAUCGGAAACAGUCUCUCCACCUUCUUAAAGGUAGAGAUAAGGUCUGCAUACACACUACCCUCCCCAAACCCCACUUGUGGGACUACACUGGGUAUGUUGUUGUUGUUGUUGAUGAUGUACUCUUCUUUCCUCUCAUUUCUAAAUAUCUUUCAAUCCUAAAGUUCUAUUAGUACUUUGCCUCCUAAAUUAUAUGUUGAAGACCUUUCCAUUUCAACUUAUUUCAUCAUUUUGGAGCCCAGAAGUCAAGUUUUCAUUUGAAUUAGUUAAUAGUUGAGUAAUUCUAAAUGUUUGUUGUCAUUUCAUAUAGUUUAUAGUUACGCUAAUGAAAUAGUUGACUUACUUUUUUAUUGUUAAAAAAGUAAACUUGUUUNNNNNNNNNNNNNNNNNNNNNNNNNNNNNNNNNNNNNNNNNNNNNNNNNNNNNNNNNNNNNNNNNNNNNNNNNNNNNNNNNNNNNNNNNNNNNNNNNNNNNNNNNNNNNNNNNNNNNNNNNNNNNNNNNNNNNNNNNNNNNNNNNNNNNNNNNNNNNNNNNNNNNNNNNNNNNNNNNNNNNNNNNNNNNNNNNNNNNNNNNNNNNNNNNNNNNNNNNNNNNNNNNNNNNNNNNNNNNNNNNNNNNNNNNNNNNNNNNNNNNNNNNNNNNNNNNNNNNNNNNNNNNNNNNNNNNNNNNNNNNNNNNNNNNNNNNNNNNNNNNNNNNNNNNNNNNNNNNNNNNNNNNNNNNNNNNNNNNNNNNNNNNNNNNNNNNNNNNNNNNNNNNNNNNNNNNNNNNNNNNNNNNNNNNNNNNNNNNNNNNNNNNNNNNNNNNNNNNNNNNNNNNNNNNNNNNNNNNNNNNNNNNNNNNNNNNNNNNNNNNNNNNNNNNNNNNNNNNNNNNNNNNNNNNNNNNNNNNNNNNNNNNNNNNNNNNNNNNNNNNNNNNNNNNNNNNNNNNNNNNNNNNNNNNNNNNNNNNNNNNNNNNNNNNNNNNNNNNNNNNNNNNNNNNNNNNNNNNNNNNNNNNNNNNNNNNNNNNNNNNNNNNNNNNNNNNNNNNNNNNNNNNNNNNNNNNNNNNNNNNNNNNNNNNNNNNNNNNNNNNNNNNCUUAAACUCCGUGCCCAGUCAAAUGGGUUCACAUAAAUUGAAACGGAGGGAGUAGUUGAGUAAUUCUAAAUGUUUGCUGUCAUUUCAUAUAGUUUAUAGUUACGCGAAUGAAAUAGUUGACUUGCUUUUUUAUUGUUAAAAAAGUAAACUUGUUUCAUUUCUCAUUUCUCAUUUUUUAUUGCUUUAGGCAAUCCCUAGGAUAACCACCAAUUUCCCUAAAAAAGCUACUGAUAUGCAAGAAAUUAAGGGUUAAACUAUCAGCCACCUUACUAGGAAGUGCCACUAGAUAGCUGGUAGCAUUUUCAGUUUUCAAAAUAGCAGAUGACACAGAGAUAUCUGCUCUAGAUCCUCCAUAAGAAGGUUAUAUCUGUAAGUGCUAACAGAAAGGACACUCAGAUUAUUUGAGGUUACUGAUAUUCCAAUCAAAAUUAUGAGGCAUUCAAGACCGUGAGCAUAAUCCUUACAAUGUCUUUACUAUCAUCCCUCACAUCAAGGCGUAUAAGUAUCAAGCAGCAUUCAGUAUCUCUUAUAUCUUAUGAUUAGAAGUAUUAGCAUGGACUUCUAAAGCAUACUACAUUUUGCAAAAUAUACUGCAGAGAAUCAUGCAAUUUACUGAAGGAUUCUGUAGAAGUGUUUACACUAGAUAAACUCAGAAACCACUCAAUGUUGGGAGUGAAAAUCCAAUAAUAAGCCCAUCUCAAAAAUGGUGUUAUAGAUUUAUGCUAAAGCCCAAACCCUCAAGCUGUUUAGCAUAAAAAAAGAAAAAAAAAAAGAUGCGAGAAGCAACAGUUGUUAGAAAUGGGAUGUAUGUCUAAAUCAUAGUCAGUCAGGUAUCAAUUUUUCUGUUGAAGUCGCAUGUUUGUUAACAGUUUAUUUAUGCACUAUAGACAAAUGAUGGGUGAACAGCUUUCUGGUCUGAGCGUCAAAGAUUUACAGAACUUGGAGAACCAACUGGAAAUGAGUCUCCGUGGUGUUCGUGUAAGAAAGGUACGAAACUUCCAGAUCCAUCAAAUGUGUACUAUCUUAUAUGAACUAAGAAAGAACUAACUCAACCUCUCAUUUCUACAGGAUGAAAUUCUGAUUGAUGAGAUACAAGAACUAAACCGAAAGGUCAAUCAACAUAAAUGCAGUGACUUAUUUUCAAUUUGUUCUAAAAAGGAUAACUUUUAAAGAAGCUAAAUUAACUUUUUUCCUUGCAGGGAAACCUCAUCCAUCAAGAAAACAUGGAACUAUAUAAGAAGGUAAACCUAAUUCGUCAAGAAAAUAUGGAAUUGUAUAAGAAGGUAUCUAUGUACAUCACUAAGAGCUUUCACUGCGCUUCAAGAACAAUUAUUUCCUUUCGUAUUCAUAUACCAAAUAAAAAUGUUUCACCAUUCUACUUAGAACUCUAGCAAAUUGUUUCUACAUUUUGUGUUAAACUUCAGGUUUAUGGAAAUAGAGAUGCAAAUGGAGUGAGCGGAAAUUCCCUUGCUCCGAACAGUUUAAGCAUUAAUGAAGACCCCCACGCUCCUGUACAUCUCCAGCUUAGCCAGCCACAGCAACAAAACUAUGACACAUCAGGAACUACCGAAUUGGGGUAAUUUCUUAUUCAUAUACUUCAUCUGGAAGCACAAGGGUAGCUCACUACCUUGAUCAUUGACUAUCAUCUAACUGGAACAUGCUGCAGGCUACAGCUGCAUUAGCGGGAAAACCAGACUCGUAAGAGUUUUGAGUUCUCAUGUUGAAGAAGCAGCCCGUGCUUACAAAGCUAUGUUUUAAUUAGUAAUGGUAGUAGUGGUAUAGGACCAGGGAUGUCAGGAAAAAUCUUCCGUUUCAUAUGGUUAAUGUCAGCAAGUUUGACAAGUGUGAGGUAAUCCAUAGCACAGCUACUUAAGUCAAAAUAACAACAAAUAAAAGAAUACAUUGGCACAGUAUCUCUAAGUUCUUCAUCUUUCUCGACACUUGAUGCUUAUGAUGUGUAUGCAUAUAUGCAUAUAAAACAGGAGCAAGAGCGAAGAAAUGUAAGCAGAAAAGGUUUUACAAAACAGUAGCUCCUCAUAGAAAUUCCUUGAGAAACACACCACAUGCAAACAGUACAGAUCUGAGCUAAGCAACUUAAUACGUUAAGACAUACCUCAAAGUUGCAUCAAUAUGCUUUGCAUGCAAUAGGCUUCAGCAAGGACAAACUAAGUUCAUUACACACCAAUGUCAAAUUUCAGCAUUCAACUGGAAAAGAAAAUUACACAAUACGAAUUUAUAUUAGUAAUGCUCUUCCCGGGAAUUUCAGAAUGAAUGAUCUUGAGCUUGAAGACUGAAUAUGUAUAGAAAGAAUUAUAUCAGGAAACAAUAUAUGAAACAUAUUUCACAAUUUUGAGUACUACAUUCUUUGCUGCCAAAUACAGUAAGUGCUUUUUUUUUUUAAAUAAGGAAUAUAGUAAGUGCUUCUUAAACAAGUUAUUUCUGGAUCACAAGGAUACCAUUGCUAAACCGACACGAAUGGCAUGCCCAAUCAACAACAAUUUCUAUACUACAAAAGACAAAGUCUCACCAAAUUAUCUAUUUGUACAGCAAUGGAUUGCACACUUAAAUUAACAAGAAAGCAUUCAUGCUUAGGUCAUGAACUGUCUCAUCAUAAAGUUCAUCUCAGGCAGAAGUCUUCUGUAUUACUUCAGGAAAUACACAUAGGCAGAACACAGUCAUCUAAAAAGGUGUAGAGUCUUAACCACAAAAGACUAUUCAACUGCUAUCUGGAUGUAGUUUACAUGACGUGAAUGAAGGAAUAUUGGGUAGUGAAUAAUACUAGGGAAUUGAAAAAAAGGCAAAAACUUCACGGAGCUUAUCAAAGUUUAGUGUGUAGGUACUACAUAUUGACAAGGUAAAGGAAUUAAAACUAGAAAUUUGAAUUUCUCUUCAAACAGCAAAACUGCAAGCAUGCAAUGUUACCAAAGAAUAUGAUCCCACCUGCUCGGGAAAUUCCAGAAAAUUGUGUAAAAUAAACAAAAAGGAGAAGUUUCUUCUUAGUUUUUAGUGGAAUAAUCAGCACCGCUGAGCAUCCUUUACAAUGCCAAUACCAACAAUGGUUGGAAAACUUAUUACAACCAAAGCUCAAUAAUGGCAGCAGCAGCAAUUUCAAACACUGAGAAUACAAAACAUAAUUAAACAAUCUCUCUUAGUCAAAGAUUCUCAGUUCAAGACAACUAGAAACAAAAGAGGUGUAGAUAAGGUUUCAUAUUGGCUUAGCACUUCGAUAAAAAUGAAGACAGCUAGCGUAGUAAGGAUCAUAAAGAUGCAGAAUCGAACAAAUUCAGAGGAAACUGACACGACUCAAGGAAAAAGAAUGGACCAUCUAGUGUUACUGCAGUAUCUCAACUAAAUAACACUUUACAUCAAUGUAGCAACAAGAUUAAGAAUUCCUUGACAGGCCGGACAAGGAUAGCCCUUGUACAGAGCAAGGAUCUAUACACCAUAUUUCAGUAAGAUGGCAUGUUUCUCUCUUGGAGAUGCCAAUAUUGAGGUUCUUUCAAAUUGUCCUUUUUUAGUUAUAUAUAGUAAGCUAAGUUAAGCCACUUGAAUCCUUUAUUUUCAGUUCUAUCAUGGUUUAAUUGAAGGUCAUCAUGAAAAUUUUAGUCAUCAUGAGAAUUUUAGCAACAUAACAAAUGCGCAAUCUUAUUUAGAGGGUCUAAGUAAAUAAAACUACAGAAAGGUAAAUAUACUAGUAUGCACUGUUACGACCAUAGCAUUAAUAUGUUAUCCUGUUAACAGGACAGGCAAGGAAAUAGUGUAGUAACCUUAUUCCUGAACUUCAUUUGUAGUGCCUAAAGUUUAAGUUUGAGGCGCCAUUAUAAUUGAGUAUGAGGUCAAAUCACCAAGCUUUGUUUCCCCUUUCUUUAAGAGCUCAGAAUUUUUUUAAACUUUAUAUAUGUAUUAACCCACUUCAACCAUUCCAAAAAAUUGGCAUUACUCAAGGUAGGUGAACUAGAGACCGUAAGCUAGCCCAGCUUAUUACUUCCCAAAACUUAACGCUUAUUGUGAACGAGCUCUCUAUUUCACAGAAAAGGAGAUUGGCAGAAAAAGGAAGGGAGUGAAGUACAAUUGGGGAGGAGUUGGGACUUGAACCAUCUUGAUAUAAGAGGCACAGACUCAAACAAAUAUGAGAGGCAGAUAUAUACUCUACAAAAAGAAAAGAAAAUGUAUUAUGGUGAUAUGUUGGUAAGAGAGUACGAAUACAAGUGGCGAAGCUAGGAUUUCCGCCACGGGGAUUCAAAAAACAAAAAAGUAGGCAUGCAGAGAGGCCAAGGGGAUUCAAUACCUAAUAUAUUUACAUAAAAAUUUUGACCUUAUAUAUGCAGUGUAAUUUUCCGGCAAAGGGAACCCCCUUCCGCCACCCUAGCUCCGCCCAUGCAUUGAUGCACGCACAUUUGUUCAAAAGCAUAUAAACAAACAAUGUAUAGCAAUAGCAUUAUGAUCUUGUCAUCUUGAUGUCUAUCAUAACCAUUUUAUUUAUUCUUGAAUCAUAUUUUCACAGUUAAGACAUGACAUCUAUUGUAUUGAAAAUGUGGUAAAAAGUCAUUUUUGUUGCAUUAAACAAAGCAACUGUAACUGAGUUAUAUCAGUAAAAAAUGUGUCUAAUUUAUUUCUUCUAUCCCUCAAAAACCUAUUACUUCCUCUAUCACAUUUUUCUUUUUCCCUUUUCCUUUUUUUGGAAAAAGGGCCACUUUUAUUAUUUUGGGAGUUCUUUGACCACAACCACCCUUUUUUAAACCUUUCAAAUAUUUUGAAUUAUUAACUUUUGUGACCUAUGGUACCUUUUAUGCAGUUUCCAACUAUGUAAAUUUUAUUUCAAAAACUUGAAGAAUCCAUGUUUAAAUCCACACCAAAAAUUAGGUACUUUAGCCGUUGUACUGUAAAACAGAGGAAUUAUUCAAUUAAAAUCACUAGGAACCUGUAUGAUGCACUUUAUUCAAGGAUAUGAUUAAACGAAUGCACUAAAGAUUUCCAUCACAUCCAGGACUAUCUAUGGAAUGUAAUCCGGACCAGCUCAAAUAGGACUAAGUACUAACUGCCUUGUCAUUUACCAAAAUGCUAAUAAAUCCCACUAGCCACCAAAUGUAUGGUAGAAAUCCAUUUCAAAAUAAGACUACGUUUAACGAAAGGAAAAUAUGACAGUUCAACAUAAUCAGGACCAAAAAGAACUGUCCAAUGAAAAAGAAAAAAUAGCACAUCAAAUCAAAGCUCUAAUCCUAUAAAGAUAAGGAGAAAGAAUACCAUGCAAUACCCAUAUAACUAUAUCAUUUACACGAUGGAAAGGCUAUAAGAACUAGAUAAUAAGCUGCAUUUAGUCCCAGGUAGUUUGACAGAAGGGGAACCAACCAUACAAUAGGAUCUCAUUUAGUUGCUCUAUGUUAUCUUCCUUACCAACUAGACUUAUUUCACACUCCUUCAUGUCUAUCUUCAGACUCAAAGCUACCUAGAUAAUUACGUGCUUUUCAAGUAGCGGAGUUGAUGCGCCUCGGGGUCAUAAUAUGCAAGAGUACUGUCCGCAAAAGAAGAUGAAACAUCCCUACAUUGGUCCAGCCUUCCAUGCUAGCUACAAGGAUCUUAGAUAACCCCCAAUCACAACUCUAUUUGUAGCUUUGAUGAGCAAUUCUUGAACAGCAACAACAGCCCCCCAAACGUCCAACAGUAAGAACUCCCUCUCCCACUGACUGCCUCUUCUCUCCCUAUGUUGCUAAAAUCCACUCUUUUUAAUUUAGAGUUUUAUGUCCACAUUAUCAUCAUUCAAUAACUCCUCUUACUUCCUUUUUCUCCAUAUUCUACCUAUUUCACCUUUAUUGUGUCCAUAAAAUUCCUCCUCCGACUAGCAAUUGCUAACAGAUAAAAAGAAUUUAUGUUGCAAUCACCCUUCUUCAACCACAAUAUCCUCAAAUUUUAUCUCCAUUUAAUGCUUGGGUGACUGUCAUGUUAGCUAAUUACUCUUUUACCUCAUACUUCCUAAUUCAUCCCUCUUAAUUAAGCCCCCUCUUGCUUUCCUCUCCAAUUGUCCCAAUUCAUUCAUCAGUUCCCUUGUUAUAUUUUUAUCCUCUAAAGUACUUCUCCAGUCCAUCUUAAAUAAUUUGUUAGCCGCUUCAACUUCUUCGCCAUACAAAAAGAGGAGCCCUUUGGAUAUGGUACUCCCUCCAUCCAGCCAGCACUGACCGAUUCUAAUUGUUAGGAAGGGCACUCCUUAUUCUGCUACAAUCUACAAAAUCAAUAUAGGGUUUAAUAUUAGCAGAGAAGAAGCAAUUUGGAUAAAUAUCAGUAGCAUCCCCUCCCAGACUGUUGGAUGAGAAACUUGUCGAGCCUUGAUUGACUCUUCAGUUGUGGAUCAGAUAAAUUAACAGCUGUCAUGGGAAAGUCAACAAAUGGGAGAGAGUUGAUUACAUCGUGAAUUUACCAUUGCCCAAAGGAAUGGCAUACCACCUCUUUCUUUCCUUUUAAAACAUUAAUGUUCUAGCCAGUUCGCAUGCACUCGACUAAUCCAUCAGGUAACUUCCAUUCUGUCAUCUCCCAUAAGCACAUGUAUCGGAGAAUAAUGACCUACUAUAUUUGCCUAUGUUGGGAUUUAAACGCUGGCCUCACAUUCCUCUCUUUCCUCCAGGAGUCUUAUUGCACUGCAAUCCCGAGCUAUCUCACAUUACUCCAUCGUAGCAUCACCAAUGAGAUCUCCUCUCAAAACUCCAUUUUGACCCCUCACUUGCCGACCCAUCAAUUUCACUCGACUAAACUAUCCACACUUUCAAAGAUCACAAUAAUUGUGGAAUCUCCUUCAUCACAUCUCGAAACUUCAACAUCGACAUGUCUUAUAACACCACAAUCUCUUCUUAUCUCCUCCUAAUUUAUAAGCAUAUCAUUUUCACUUCUCACUCUUAUGUUUUCACACACUUAUGAUAAUUGACUCUGGUAUUUUUUUUCAUUUUUAUUUCUUGCAAGCACGCUAAUCAUACAUUUCUCCUUUAACCCCACCUUGAUAAUGGCCCUUAUACUUUGAGGCAUUCACUCUUCUCACCCCACUCUAUCUAUCUCUUCCUUCUCCUAUUAGCCCUUCCCUUCAUCCCACAUGGAUCCAUAACUUAUAUUUUUAUAAUUAGCAUUAAUAACUUAUACUUCUUGGAUCACAACUUAUAUUGCAUCUAAAUACUUUACUCUCUUUAAUUUUUUUUCAUUUGCCCCACUCAAUUAUCUCAUACGCUCCUCAACUACUCAUUUAUGUUUUCGUAGGCUCAUGUCAAAUACUUCCUCCUUUUCAACCAUAGAGCUUAGGAAAGAAAAGAAGAUUUUUGAAACUUCCAAUCGUAAAUAUGUCAUAACAUUUGUGUGGCUAUAAUACUUUUGAAACUUUUGAUCUUAAAUAUGCCGGAAUAUUUUUUUGGCUACAAAAGCUUCUUAGAAAGGGUAAAAUGAGAAGUCACAUUUAAUUUAGAAAGAGGUAAGUCUUUUUGGAAUGACUAAAAAGAAAAUAGGAUAACAUAAAUUGGAUCGGAGAGAAUAUGAGUUUAUUGGUCUCUCCUCGAACUGUAAAAUGAAAACCCUAAUUUUCUAUUAAAAAAAAUCCUUAAUUUAUGUUAGUACAUGUGUUUAAAUACAAAAAAGUAGGUUAGGUAGCCAAGCCAUUUCACGAGGAAAAUCGCUUUGAAUAUGAUCUCUAAACAAUUCUAGAGGAACAAAGCUAGUUAACGAUAAAACAUUAUUUUCCUAGAGUAAUGGGUAAAAAUUAACAUGGUGUGACUAGAUUUUAAUUGGAUUGCCAAGUGGUAUUUCAGUUCAACUUCUACCGUAGGCCAUUAUACUGGUAAAAUGGUCAAUUUCUUGUUGAUAGUGUUUAGCUAUCUGUAUUUUAAAUGAUGUAGCAUGGAUACACUUUAUAUCAAUAACACCAAAAAUUAUGAUAACAUUAACAGGAAGGCAAAACGUAUUGCAGAUCAUAACACAGUUCCCAGGAGAAGCCAUAAGACAGCGGCACUAAGAGUACAUCACACAGGUAGGAAGCAUAUUUCACACGCCAUAAGGUAAAAGUUACUACUAGUAUCUAUUUCUUGUGAUGAAUUAGUGCCAAAAGAGAAAAAAUACAGCAGAAACCAAAAAAAAAAAGGGUACAUGCAAUAACAAAUAUGGAUCCAUCACAGAUUCGACCGAGAAACAUUAAAGUGAUUCUUUCUAUGAAAUACUAAAGCGAAUUAAUUAGCAACAGUACAUCAAAUGUGACAUUAAAGCCAACAUAAGAUGCUUAUGGACCUCGUAAAGAAACGGAACUCCAAUAACUCGGCAAAGAAAAGCUUUGUGCAAAGAAGAAAGAAGAAACUAAUUGAAACAUUUAUUUAAUUUAAAUAUGCAAUAAAUAUGAUAGAAACAGCAUUACGAUUUACGCACCUGAAAAACGAAGCAACGGCAUUUCCGCAAUGCUGGGAGUGAUUACAUAUUGUAUCUUCUAAAAACUUAUGAUCUGAGAAAAGUUCCAGAAGAAAAUUGAAAAAACAAAACGAAAAACGAUCCCGAUCAGCAAGUUGAACUAAAUUAUACUCCUAUGAUGAAAAGAAAACAUGAAACGUAUAGCAAAAGUAUCGCAAUACGUAGUCAGUCUAUAAGCAAAGGUGAAAAUUGCGUUUAGCAUAUGAUAUUAAAAAAGAUUUUUUCUAUAUUUCUUAGAAACAAAACAUAAAAGCGAUGAAUGAACCACCGCCAUUAAUGGCCAAAAAAAUUGCAAUUUCAUAGUGUUGUGAGUGAUCGAAAAGUUAAUCAGACAAUUUGAGGAGAAGAUGAAUGAAGAUGCACUGAGAAUUGAAAGAAAAAUAAGAGUAAUUUCAAUGGCUUUUUCAGCAGAAAGAGAAACGGGAGAAUAGAUACCUACCAGAUAAGUUUAUGGAGACGGAAAGAGAGGAGAGAACAAUGAAUAGGAAGGGAAUGAAAAAUAUCUGCGUUAAGCCGGAGUAGAGAGUGGGGCAGGGGCUUGAGAAAUUGGGGGUGGGGUUGGGGGGGGGGGUGCCCCCACUAGAUUUGGUUUGGGUAAUUUUGAUUCUCUGGGUACUGCCAAACUGGUGAUUAUUUUAUUGAGAUGAGAAAUCCGUGUUCUUGUGCUUCUCCGAAUCUCUG
rnacentral:lncRNA from 1 species